ensembl:lncRNA
CGCCUUUUUGACUGCUUCAGCCCGUUGCCGUCACGAGUUACGUCGCCGCCAUAUUGGAUGUGUCUAUGGUUUGAAUUGUUUGGCGCGUGUUGCCCGUGGUUGUCUGUCGCUGGAAGAACACUGAAAUGUCCACCCCAGCUAGAGAGCCAGUGAUGCAGGCAGCAGGUGCCUCCCAGACUACACCUAGUCCAUGGAGAGUGAAGGAGGAGAAUUACUCUAAUUCUAUGGGUCCACAUUCACAUAAUUUCAAUGUGAAAUUCGGUCUAGAUGUACGUACCAUUCACUGUGAUCAACCUUGCACAGUGCUGGAGGCAAUAAAAUCAACAAAAAAAUAUAAGGAGCAUAUUACCUGUGCCGAUGGGAACAUUAUUAUUCAGCUGGGUAAAGUGGAUAACGAAUGUAUUGUUGCAACACAUUUCCCUUGUUCUUGUGUGGAGGAGGAUGAGUCUCUGAUCAUAUCCAGUGAAAAAGAGGUCGUAGGGGAACAAUUGACAAAACCGUUUGACAAAAUGAUAUAUCCAAAAGACAGAUAUGUAUUGUUCAAGAUUGAUACAGUGGGAGGGAAAGACACCAAAACAAAGAAGAUUUUUAGAAAUGAGAGUGUCAAACAGUUCAAGUAUCUCUGUGUUUACGCACAGAAGGGGAUGACUGUAGAGGAGGCUCUGAAAAGAGAUGGACGCUUCAUUGAUGACCUUGGCAACUUCGAACUGACCGACAAUGAGAAUCGAGUCAUCACUGAAGGCACACAAAAGGUUGACAACCUGCACAAGAAAAGUUUCAAGGUCUGUCUUCCACGUUGUAAAGGAAAAAAACAUGAAACAGCUGUGACAAGGCGGUCACCGCGAAAAAACCAACCAAC